rnacentral:rRNA from 1 species
UACAGAGGUGGCAAGCGUUGUUCGGAAUUACUGGGCGUAAAGGGCGCGUAGGCGGUUCGUUAAGUCCUGUGUGAAAUCCCCCGGCUCAACUGGGGAACUGCACAGGAAACUAGCGGGCUUGAGUUCGGGAGAGGGAAGCGGAAUUCCGGGUGUAGCGGUGAAAUGCUUAGAUAUCGUCCAGAACACCGAUAGCGAAGGCAGCUUACUAAGGAGUAACUGACGCUGAGGCACGAAAGUGUGGGGAUCAAACAGGG